rnacentral:rRNA from 1 species
UACGAAGGGGGCUAGCGUUGCUCGGAAUUAUUGGGCGUAAAGGGCGCGUAGACGGUCGUGUGCGUCGGAGGUGAAAUCCCCGGGCUUAACCCGGGAGCUGCCUCCGAUACGGCAUGGCUUGAGUCCGGGAGAGGGGAGCAGAAUUCCCAGUGUAGCGGUGAAAUGCGCAGAUAUCAGGAGGAACACCGGUGGCGAAGGCGGGUCUCUGGGCCGAUACUGACGCUGAGGAGCGAAAGCGUGGGGAGCGAACAGG